rnacentral:rRNA from 1 species
CUACGGGUCGCUGCAGUUAGGAAUAAUCUACAAUGCGCGCAAGCGUGAUAGUUUGAAUCAAAGUGCUUUUCGUUUAGAAAAGCUUUUGCCAAAUGUAAAAAGUUUGGCGAAUAAGGACUGGGUAAGACUAGUGCCAGCCGCCGCGGUAAUACUAGCGGUCCAAGUCGCAGCCAUAUUUAUUGGGUCUAAAACAUCCGUAGCUUGCUUUGUAAGUUCCUUGUGAAAUCCUAUAUCUCAAGUAUGGGGCGUGCAAGAAAUACUGCAAAGCUAGAGACUGGAAGACGUAAGGAGUACGUUUGAAGUAAUAGUAAAAUGUGUUAAUCUUAAACGGACUUACAAGAGCGAAGGCACCUUACGAGGACAGUUCUGACAGUAAGGGAUGAAGGCUAGGGGCGCAAAACGGAUUAGAUACCCCCGUAGUC